rnacentral:lncRNA from 1 species
UUUGAGAUGCCUUAGCAUUACUUGCAACAUAACAGUCAAUUUCUUCAUUUUUUGUUACUUUGAACAUUUUACAAAAGCAGCGAUUUGCCAUUCAAUUGAUGAGAGGGAUUAACUGCUGUCCCCUUAUUAAAUAUUUAAACGAAAGACAAGCAAAAAGAAAACGCUAUUAGAAAAUCAACAUAAUGGAAUUAUUUGGGGACGUAAGAAUAAGGGCAAAGACAAAUAAUAGGCCUCUAUCCACCGUCCAUUUGGUGUGAUUUCCAUGAUGAUCUUCUUCAGCAUUCUUAGAGGACCAACCAUGACCCCCCAUUGAACCACUGGCCGUGACCCAAGACAGAACCUCCGUCUCUUGUUCCCUAGCCGAACCGUGCAAACCCUCCGCCGCCUCGACCGCCUUCGCGCACUGCCGCGGCACCACCCGACUAACAAGGCGGAAUUUGACAACAUUGAUACACUUAAAGAACUUCUCUUCAACAUUUUUGUGAAAGUGUUUUUUGCUUGUGUUUCUUAUAUAGUUGGCUUAAAGUUU